rnacentral:rRNA from 1 species
CCUACGGGUGGCAGCAGUGGGGAAUAUUGGGCAAUGGAGGCAACUCUGACCCAGCAACGCCGCGUGAAUGAUGAAGGUCUUCGGAUUGUAAAGUUCUGUGAUGGGGGAUGAACACAAUGACGGUACCCCAAUAGCAAGCCACGGCUAACUACGUGCCAGCAGCCGCGGUAAUACGUAGGUGGCAAGCGUUAUCCGGAAUGACUGGGCGUAAAGGUUCGUUGGGGGUUUAGUGAGUUGGCGGUGGAAUUUCGGGGGUCAACCCCCGCGCUACCGGCGAAACUAUUAGACUAGAGUGCGGGAGGGGUAAGUGGAAUGCGUAGUGUAGCGGUGGAAUGCGUAGAUAUUAGGAGGAACAUCAGGGGCGAAGGCGACUUACUGGACUGUAACUGACACUGAGGCAUGAAAGCGUGGGGAGCAAACAGGAUUAGAUACCCUGGUAGUC